GCCUGUGUGUGGAUCGGAGUCACAUCGUGUGCGUGUCUUUCUUUUCUAUCACCCGCUUUUACAGGGUUGCAGUGGGCUGGAACUUGAGACGCGGGUUCACCCAGGAAACCAGUUUAUCACAGCAAGAUCACGCCUGAUAAGGAAACGUCAGGUGACAGUUCUGAGGAAGGUGGAAGAUACACUCCGGAACUGGUC